GGGUUGUGAGGUUAAGCGACUAAGCGUACACGGUGGAUGCCCUGGCAGUCAGAGGCGAUGAAGGACGUGCUAAUCUGCGAUAAGCGUCGGUAAGGUGAUAUGAACCGUUAUAACCGGCGAUUUCCGAAUGGGGAAACCCAGUGUGUUUCGACACACUAUCAUUAACUGAAUCCAUAGGUUAAUGAGGCGAACCGGGGGAACUGAAACAUCUAAGUACCCCGAGGAAAAGAAAUCAACCGAGAUUCCCCCAGUAGCGGCGAGCGAACGGGGAGGAGCCCAGAGCCUGAAUCAGUGUGUGUGUUAGUGGAAGCGUCUGGAAAGGCGCGCGAUACAGGGUGACAGCCCCGUACACAAAAAUGCACAUACUGUGAGCUCGAUGAGUAGGGCGGGACACGUGGUAUCCUGUCUGAAUAUGGGGGGACCAUCCUCCAAGGCUAAAUACUCCUGACUGACCGAUAGUGAACCAGUACCGUGAGGGAAAGGCGAAAAGAACCCCGGCGAGGGGAGUGAAAAAGAACCUGAAACCGUGUACGUACAAGCAGUGGGAGCCUCUUUUAUGGGGUGACUGCGUACCUUUUGUAUAAUGGGUCAGCGACUUAUAUUCUGUAGCAAGGUUAACCGAAUAGGGGAGCCGAAGGGAAACCGAGUCUUAACUGGGCGUUAAGUUGCAGGGUAUAGACCCGAAACCCGGUGAUCUAGCCAUGGGCAGGUUGAAGGUUGGGUAACACUAACUGGAGGACCGAACCGACUAAUGUUGAAAAAUUAGCGGAUGACUUGUGGCUGGGGGUGAAAGGCCAAUCAAACCGGGAGAUAGCUGGUUCUCCCCGAAAGCUAUUUAGGUAGCGCCUCGUGAAUUCAUCUCCGGGGGUAGAGCACUGUUUCGGCAAGGGGGUCAUCCCGACUUACCAACCCGAUGCAAACUGCGAAUACCGGAGAAUGUUAUCACGGGAGACACACGGCGGGUGCUAACGUCCGUCGUGAAGAGGGAAACAACCCAGACCGCCAGCUAAGGUCCCAAAGUCAUGGUUAAGUGGGAAACGAUGUGGGAAGGCCCAGACAGCCAGGAUGUUGGCUUAGAAGCAGCCAUCAUUUAAAGAAAGCGUAAUAGCUCACUGGUCGAGUCGGCCUGCGCGGAAGAUGUAACGGGGCUAAACCAUGCACCGAAGCUGCGGCAGCGACGCUUAUGCGUUGUUGGGUAGGGGAGCGUUCUGUAAGCCUGUGAAGGUGUGCUGUGAGGCAUGCUGGAGGUAUCAGAAGUGCGAAUGCUGACAUAAGUAACGAUAAAGCGGGUGAAAAGCCCGCUCGCCGGAAGACCAAGGGUUCCUGUCCAACGUUAAUCGGGGCAGGGUGAGUCGACCCCUAAGGCGAGGCCGAAAGGCGUAGUCGAUGGGAAACAGGUUAAUAUUCCUGUACUUGGUGUUACUGCGAAGGGGGGACGGAGAAGGCUAUGUUGGCCGGGCGACGGUUGUCCCGGUUUAAGCGUGUAGGCUGGUUUUCCAGGCAAAUCCGGAAAAUCAAGGCUGAGGCGUGAUGACGAGGCACUACGGUGCUGAAGCAACAAAUGCCCUGCUUCCAGGAAAAGCCUCUAAGCAUCAGGUAACAUCAAAUCGUACCCCAAACCGACACAGGUGGUCAGGUAGAGAAUACCAAGGCGCUUGAGAGAACUCGGGUGAAGGAACUAGGCAAAAUGGUGCCGUAACUUCGGGAGAAGGCACGCUGAUAUGUAGGUGAAGUCCCUCGCGGAUGGAGCUGAAAUCAGUCGAAGAUACCAGCUGGCUGCAACUGUUUAUUAAAAACACAGCACUGUGCAAACACGAAAGUGGACGUAUACGGUGUGACGCCUGCCCGGUGCCGGAAGGUUAAUUGAUGGGGUCAGCGCAAGCGAAGCUCUUGAUCGAAGCCCCGGUAAACGGCGGCCGUAACUAUAACGGUCCUAAGGUAGCGAAAUUCCUUGUCGGGUAAGUUCCGACCUGCACGAAUGGCGUAAUGAUGGCCAGGCUGUCUCCACCCGAGACUCAGUGAAAUUGAACUCGCUGUGAAGAUGCAGUGUACCCGCGGCAAGACGGAAAGACCCCGUGAACCUUUACUAUAGCUUGACACUGAACAUUGAGCCUUGAUGUGUAGGAUAGGUGGGAGGCUUAGAAGUGUGGACGCCAGUCUGCAUGGAGCCGACCUUGAAAUACCACCCUUUAAUGUUUGAUGUUCUAACGUUGACCCGUGAUCCGGGUUGCGGACAGUGUCUGGUGGGUAGUUUGACUGGGGCGGUCUCCUCCUAAAGAGUAACGGAGGAGCACGAAGGUUGGCUAAUCCUGGUCGGACAUCAGGAGGUUAGUGCAAUGGCAUAAGCCAGCUUGACUGCGAGCGUGACGGCGCGAGCAGGUGCGAAAGCAGGUCAUAGUGAUCCGGUGGUUCUGAAUGGAAGGGCCAUCGCUCAACGGAUAAAAGGUACUCCGGGGAUAACAGGCUGAUACCGCCCAAGAGUUCAUAUCGACGGCGGUGUUUGGCACCUCGAUGUCGGCUCAUCACAUCCUGGGGCUGAAGUAGGUCCCAAGGGUAUGGCUGUUCGCCAUUUAAAGUGGUACGCGAGCUGGGUUUAGAACGUCGUGAGACAGUUCGGUCCCUAUCUGCCGUGGGCGCUGGAGAACUGAGGGGGGCUGCUCCUAGUACGAGAGGACCGGAGUGGACGCAUCACUGGUGUUCGGGUUGUCAUGCCAAUGGCACUGCCCGGUAGCUAAAUGCGGAAGAGAUAAGUGCUGAAAGCAUCUAAGCACGAAACUUGCCCCGAGAUGAGUUCUCCCUGACUCCUUGAGAGUCCUGAAGGAACGUUGAAGACGACGACGUUGAUAGGCCGGGUGUGUAAGCGCAGCGAUGCGUUGAGCUAACCGGUACUAAUGAACCGUGAGGCUUAACCUUACAACGCCGAAG
rnacentral:rRNA from 1 species